rnacentral:lncRNA from 1 species
AUGAGAUGGAAAAUUUGCAUCACUUGUUCAUGUCAUUCCCUUUUGCUUAUAGUAUUAUUCUAGAAGGCAGGAAACCAAAGAUGAUCCAAAACAAAGACUAAUAAGAUGACAAAAACAGAGGAAAUCAAAGAGGCGAGCACACAAACAUAGAGUUAGGCUCCUGUAUUAUCUAUAGUAUUAGAAUUCUGGUACUAUAAUCUCAUUUUUAACCUUAAAAUAUUCAAAUUAACGAUCAACACUGUUAAAAUUUGAUGUAGGAUAUUUGAAUUUUUUAGGAAUAAAAUAUUAUAUUUUUUGACAUAUUUUACUUUCUGAUCAAACUAUUUUAAAAUUUGUCAAUUUUCAAUGACUACAGUGGCGAGUUUGUAGCUUAGUUUUGUGGAAGAAUCUAAAUUUAUUCAAAUUUUGAUAGAAAAUAUCUAGAUCAAGAUCAGCAUCCUUGAUCUUGAAUCCAAAAGUCCUAUCCUCAAAUUAUAAAGAUUGUUUAAUUUUUAUCGUUCAUUUUAACAUGAUUUACUUACUAACUAAACGAUAUAAAAAAAAUUAAAAUGUUAUUCCUAAGAACUUCAUAUACAUUAGAUUAUAUUUAACAAUAUAUAUUGUUGAUUUGAACACCCAAAAUCAAAAACGACACUAUAACAGAUACUAUAAAUAGUAUAGUAGCCUCCUUCUAUAUAUAUAUUAAAGGUAGGAUAUAAAAUGGAGAAGAACAGUCCCGAAUUUUUUUUAUUAAUAAACUUAAAAUAUUAUAAUUAUAAAAAUAGUUUGUGAAAAAACUUAUUUAUAAAACUAGACUUAUACAAUGACUGAAUCACUGCUUUUUAAAUAUGGUAAAUCGUUUAUGUACCGUAUUAAUAAGAUAUCAACAUGAUACACUCUCUGUGCCAAAUAGUACGGCUCAGAAUCGUCUUUUUUUUCAAUUAACAAACAUAAAGAUAUUUUUUUAUGACUGAUAUAUAUCUGCACAGCAUAACACGCAUCGUGCAUUCGUGCUGUACUAUACCAAUAAAUUUUUGGUACAGACCUGCGUCACGACGCUUCAAUCCUUGC